rnacentral:rRNA from 1 species
GACGAACGCUGGCGGCGUGCUUAACACAUGCAAGUCGAGCGGUAAGGCCCUUUCGGGGGUACACGAGCGGCGAACGGGUGAGUAACACGUGGGUGACCUGCCCUCAGCUCUGGGAUAAGCCCGGGAAACUGGGUCUAAUACCGGAUAUGACUCCAUGACGCAUGUUGUGGGGUGGAAAGCCUUGUGCGGCUGAGGAUGGGCCCGCGGCCUAUCAGCUUGUUGGUGGGGCGAUGGCCUACCAAGGCGACGACGGGUAGCCGGCCUGAGAGGGCGACCGGCCACACUGGGACUGAGACACGGCCCAGACUCCUACGGGAGGCAGCAGGUGGGGAAUCUUGCGCAAUGGGCGAAAGCCUGACGCAGCGACGCCGCGUGAGGGAUGACGGCCU